rnacentral:rRNA from 1 species
AGAACGAACGCUGGCGGCAUGCCUAACACAUGCAAGUCGAACGAGACCUUCGGGUCUAGUGGCGCACGGGUGCGUAACGCGUGGGAAUCUGCCCCUUGGUUCGGAAUAACAGUUAGAAAUGACUGCUAAUACCGGAUGACGACGUAAGUCCAAAGAUUUAUCGCCGAGGGAUGAGCCCGCGUAGGAUUAGCUAGUUGGUGAGGUAAUGGCUCACCAAGGCGACGAUCCUUAGCUGGUCUGAGAGGAUGAUCAGCCACACUGGGACUGAGACACGGCCCAGACUCCUACGGGAGGCAGCAGUGGGGAAUAUUGGACAAUGGGCGAAAGCCUGAUCCAGCAAUGCCGCGUGAGUGAUGAAGGCCUUAGGGUUGUAAAGCUCUUUACCAGGGAUGAUAAUGACAGUACCUGGAGAAUAAGCUCCGGCUAACUCCGCGCCAGCAGCCGC